CCCUUAGACGUUCUGGGCCGCACGCGCGCUACACUGACCAGUGCAACAAGCAUCCGUCCUUGGCCGACAGGCUCGGGCAAUCUUUGAACGCUGGUCGUGAUGGGGAUAGACUUUUGCAAUUUUUGGUCUUCAACGAGGAAUUCCUAGUAAACGCAAGUCAUCAACUUGCAUUGAUUACGUCCCUGCCCUUUGUACACACCGCCCGUCGCACCUACCGAUUGAAUGGUCCGGUGAAGCCUCCGGAUUGGCGCGCACCUCGGUGCCGCCGAGAAGUUGGCUAAACCUUACCAUUUAGAGGAAGGAGAAGUCGUANCA
rnacentral:rRNA from 1 species